rnacentral:rRNA from 1 species
GAUUAUGGCUCAGGAUGAACGCUAGCGACAGGCUUAACACAUGCAAGUCGAGGGGCAGCACGGGAGUAGCAAUACAACUGGUGGCGACCGGCGCACGGGUGAGUAACGCGUAUGCAACCUACCUAUCAGAGGGGAAUAACCGGCGAAAGUCGGACUAAUACCGCAUAAAACAGGGGCACCGCAUGGUGAUAUUUGUUAAAGAAAUUCGCUGAUAGAUGGGCAUGCGUUCCAUUAGGUAGUUGGUGAGGUAACGGCUCACCAAGCCGACGAUGGAUAGGGGAACUGAGAGGUUGGUCCCCCACACUGGUACUGAGACACGGACCAGACUCCUACGGGAGGCAGCAGUGAGAAAUAUUGGUCAAUGGGCGGGAGCCUGAACCAGCCAAGUCGCGUGAAGGAAGAAGGAUCUAUGGUUCGUAAACUUCUUUUGCAGGGGAAUAAAGUGCAGGACGUGUCCUGUUUUGUAUGUACCCUGAGAAUAAGGAUCGGCUAACUCCGUGCCAGCCGCCGC